UGAUGAUAUACACAAAGACACACUCUCAAUGCGUUGAGGGGUGGGGGUUGUGGAAGAAGGUGAGCCUUCCUUCUCCCGAUAGCUCACAGUUCUUCUCAGUUUGAGUACUGAAAGGGACGGCAACAGCUCAACUGCCAUUACUUGGCAUUCUCCCUCUGCCUGGUGUCUGUUGCAUACAGAGAGGCAGCAAUCAACUACAGAACAGUAGCAAUGUGCAUGGAGAUUGGCUGCUUAGUGCUCUGUGUGAGUGGAUGGAUCCUGGUCUGCUCUACAAUGCCACUGAGAUCUGGACCUGCUCUGAGGUAGGCAGCAUCAUUCUGACCACUUCAAACUACUUCUCCAAUCUCUGGAAGGAUUGCACUUCUGAUUCAACAGGAGUGUUCAACUGCAAGGGUAUCCCAUCAAUGUUCGCAUUGAGCUGGGGCUUCCAUGUGCUCCGGGCUCUGAUCAUCACCUCUAUUAUCUUGGGAUUCUGAGAUAGGAGGAUCUUCUGCACUAAGAUAGGAGGAUCUGAGGUUACAAACGCAAGUGGGACUUUUGAUGGAUGGAUUAACUAUCUUGUGUCUGAUCAAAGAACAAACACAUGCCUGUCUACAAGUUUCCUUGAUAGCUACAUGGCACCUCCAUCUAAACAGAGGUACCUACCAGUGUCAAGAGAACUCACAGAGGGUGGAGAGAGCAUAAGACCAAGACCAGCAGUUAGACUAGGAGCAGCAGCAAGACACCCUCCAGUUUGAACAUGUAUGUGUUGUGACCUGCUCUUGUGGCCUGCAGUUCGACAUUUGUAAAAAAAAAAACAUACACAAAAAACAACAACAUGAAGCUCUUUCUAUGAGACUGACCAGGUGAAAGCUAAGAUCCCUUAUUGAUGUCACUUGUUAAAUCCACUUCAAUCAGUGUAGAUGAAGGGGAGGAGACAGGUUAAAAAUGGAUUUUUAAGCCUUGAGACAAUUGAGAUGGAUUGUGUAUGUGUGCCGUUCAAAGGGUGAAUGGACAAGACCAAAGUGCUUUUGAACUGGCUGUGGUAGUAGGUACCAGGCACACCGGGUUGUGUGUGUCAAGAACUGCAACGCUGCUGGGUUUUUCCACACUCAACAAUUUCCUGUGUGUAUCAAGAACGAUCCACCCCCCAUAGGAUACCCAGCCAACUUGACACAACUGUGGGAAGCAUUGGAGUCAACAUGGGCCAGCAUCCCCGUGGAACGCUUUUGACAGCUUGUAGAGUCCAUGCCCCGACUAAUUGAGGCUGUUCUGAGGGCAGAAGGGCGUGCAACUCAAUAUUAAGGUGUUCCAAAUGUUUUGUACACUCAUAAGAUAUUUGUAUUACAUUCAUUUUGCUGUGAAGCCUUAAACUCUAAAUUACACUGUUAAGGUAUUAAUCAACGGUCAACUGUUUUUCCAUUGUACGCUUUGUAUUGCAUCCCAUGUCCUGAAAUAUAUUUUAUAUGUGAAUAAAAGAUCCCAAACAUU